rnacentral:rRNA from 1 species
GAUGAACGCUGGCGGCGUGCCUAAUACAUGCAAGUCGAGCGAACAGACGAGGAGCUUGCUCCUUUGACGUUAGCGGCGGACGGGUGAGUAACACGUGGGUAACCUACCUAUAAGACUGGGAUAACUUCGGGAAACCGGAGCUAAUACCGGAUAAUAUUUCGAACCGCAUGGUUCGAUAGUGAAAGAUGGCUCUGCUAUCACUUAUAGAUGGACCUGCGCCGUAUUAGCUGGUUGGUAAGGUAACGGCUUACCAAGGCAACGAUACGUAGCCGACCUGAGAGGGUGAUCGGCCACACUGGAACUGAGACACGGUCCAGACUCCUACGGGAGGCAGCAGUAGGGAAUCUUCCGCAAUGGGCGAAAGCCUGACGGAGCAACGCCGCGUGAGUGAUGAAGGUCUUCGGAUCGUAAAACUCUGUUAUUAGGGAAGAACAAACGUGUAAGUAACUGUGCACGUCUUGACGGUACCUAAUCAGAAAGCCACGGCUAACUACGUG